rnacentral:rRNA from 1 species
CCUACGGGUGGCAGCAGUGAGGAAUAUUGGUCAAUGGGCGCUAGCCUGAACCAGCCAAGUAGCGUGAAGGAUGACUGCCCUCUGGGUUGUAAACUUCUUUUAUAUGGGAAUAAAGUGCAGUAUGUAUACUGCUUUGCAUGUACCUUAUGCAUAAGGAUCGGCUCACUUCGUGCCAGCAGCCCCGGUAAUAUGGUGGAUUCGAGCGUUAUCCGGAUUUAUUGGGUUUAAAGGGGGCGUAGGCGGGUUGUCAAGGCAGUUGUGAAAGUGUGCGGCUCAACCGUAAAAUUGCAGUGGAUACUGGCAGCCUUGAGUGCAGUAGAGGUAGGCGGAAUUCGUGGUGUAGCGGUGAAAUGCGUAGAUAUAACGAAGAACUCCGAUUGCGAAGGCAGCCUGCUGGACUGUAACUGACGCUGAUGCUCGAAAGUGUGGGUAGCAAACAGGAUUAGAUACCCGAGUAGUC